CCCCAUCCUCCAAAAAAAGGGAAAGUCAAAGGUAUGAGUGGACAAAGAUGUCAGCAUUUAUUCGAAUGUAAUCCAACAAAAAUAUAAUUAGUGUUUGGGUAUAAAACUAUAGUCUUUAAGAAUCUUAAUCCAAUAAUUUUUCAUGAAAGGUAUGGACCAUGCCUUUUCAUUGGUCUGGUCAUCCUAUGAUCUAGUCCUAUAAUGAAACUACUUGCAAGACAAGACACCAGUAGAAGUGAGAAUGUGACAUAGACAUCUUAGC
rnacentral:lncRNA from 1 species